AACGAACGCUGGCGGCAGGCUUAACACAUGCAAGUCGAACGCACCGCAAGGUGAGUGGCAGACGGGUGAGUAACACGUGGGGAUCUGCCCAAUGGUACGGAAUAGCUCCGGGAAACUGGAAUUAAUACCGUAUGUGCCCUUCGGGGGAAAGAUUUAUCGCCAUUGGAUGAACCCGCGUCGGAUUAGCUAGUUGGUGAGGUAAAGGCUCACCAAGGCGACGAUCCGUAGCUGGUCUGAGAGGAUGAUCAGCCACACUGGGACUGAGACACGGCCCAGACUCCUAUGGGAGACAGCAGUGGGGAAUAUUGGACAAUGGGCGCAAGCCUGAUCCAGCCAUGCCGCGUGAGUGAUGAAGGCCUUAGGGUUGUAAAGCUCUUUCGCCGACGAAGAUAAUGACGGUAGUCGGAGAAGAAGCCCCGGCUAACUUCGUGCCAGCCGCCGCCGUAACAC
rnacentral:rRNA from 1 species